rnacentral:rRNA from 1 species
AANNGNGGANUCUGACCAGCCAUUCCGCGUGCAGGAAGAAGAUUCUAUGGAUUGUAAACUGCUUUUAGCAGAGAAGAAAAGCCUUCAUUGAUGGGGGUCUGACGGUAUCUGCGGAAUAAGCACCGGCUAACUCCGUGCCAGCAGCCGCGGUAAUACGGGGGGUGCAAGCGUUAUCCGGAAUCACUGGGUUUAAAGGGUGCGUAGGCGGGAUAUUAAGUCAGUGGUGAAAGUCUGUUGCUUAACAAUAGAAUUGCCGUUGAUACUGAUGUUCUUGAAUUGGGUUGAGGUUAGCGGAAUGUGACAUGUAGCGGUGAAAUGCAUAGAUAUGUCAUGGAACACCAAUUGCGAAGGCAGCUAGCUGGGCCUUGAUUGACGCUGAGGCACGAAAGCGUGGGUAGCGAACAGGAUUAGAUACCCUGGUAGUCCACGCCCUAAACGAUGCUAACUCGAUGUUUGGUUUACGGAUUGAGCAUCUAAGGGAAACCGAUAAGUUAGCCACCUGGGGAGUACGACCGCAAGGUUGAAACUCAAAGGAAUUGACGGGGGUCCGCACGAGCGGUGGAGCAUGUGGUUUAAUUCGAUGAUACGCGAGGAACCUUACCUAGGCUAGAAUGUGAGUGACCGUCCUUGAAAGGGGACUUUCCUUCGGGACACGAAACAAGGUGCUGCAUGGUUGUCGUCAGCUCGUGCCGUGAGGUGUUGGGUUAAGUCCCGCAACGAGCGCAACCCUUAUCGUUAGUUACCAGCACGUAGAGGUGGGGACUCUAGCGAGACUGCCGGCGUAAGCCGUGAGGAAGGUGGGGAUGACGUCAAAUCAUCAUGGCCUUUAUGCCUAGGGCGACACACGUGCUACAAUGGCCGGAACAGCGGGUUGCGAAACUGUGAAGUGGANCCNAUCCCAUAAAUCCGGUCUCAGUUCGGAUUGGAGUCUGCAACUCNACUC